rnacentral:lncRNA from 1 species
AGUCACUGGCUUUCUUGCGGGUCAGUCACUGAGCCAAUUUCCAAGUCCGUCACACCGGCUUUUUUCAAAUGAACGCGCAAAAGGCGGGGAAGUAUCUGGAAAGCGAUUGGUUCGUCCUAGAAAACGGUCAAACCCGGAGAGUCUGUACGGAUCCUUUCCGUUCUGUGAGGACCGUGCCCCCUUGUAUUUGACCUCUAAGCCUCGCGUAAAAGAAGCGCCAUAAGGGACCAACGAGCAGUCCAGCUAUAGGUGUGGACGCCUGGUCCCACCCGGAAUUGCAGGGGCUUGGCUACUGAUUGGCUAAGAAAGUCCUCCUAGGCCCUCAUUGGAGGAUCUAAACGCCUCUCUUCGGCGUGGAGACGGGAAGGGACGACUCAGACGAGGACAAGAAGUGGGCAGGGGAGAGGCGGUUGUUUUGCUUCAGCCGCGGGUGGGGCGCAGGCGAGAGUGGGAAACUGGGAAGGCCGGGCUCUGGGGAGGUGUUGCGGGGAGGGGAAAGGCCCGGAUGUUCCCUAACAAUGAAAUCAUCGCCGACCUAUCAGAGCCGCCGAGCUGGGAUACCUGCCUGACCUGUACCCCGGAGGGAGAAGAGUGGGCGGGAAAUUGGGGUGUCGGAAGAACCUGGAAAGCAACGUGAGAAAGUGGGACAGGUGUUCCCUUCAGGAGGAUUUUGUGCUAUUAGAGAUUAUUUUUAUACCAGCCCUUGACAUUUCCGUAUUUUGUUUCUCAGUCGGCAUUGAUAUUAAAACUCCCAGCCUAGUCUCUUGACAUGGACUUGUUCAUUUCGCAGUUAUUGAGCGCCUACUGUUUGCCAGGUACUGUAUGUAGAACUGGAGAUACAAAAAUAAAUUAGGCAAUCGCAGUACAAGAUGAUAGGUACUACAAUUGAAACAUGCACAAGGGCUGGUGACGACAUAAAGGGUCUUCCUUGUGCAUAGGUUUACCAAGAAAGGCUUCACAAAGACACAGGAUGAGUCAAGAAUGAAUGAUAGGGGUUUAACAGGCCGAUGGGGAAAGUGGACAUGACUCCUCCAGCUAUCAAAUUAGACGAUGCUGCCAUGUUAAUUCUCCAAACGAGAAACAAAAGUGUAAUAGAGGUAUUCUAAUACUUACCUUAGGAUAUAUAUAUAUAUAUAUAUUUUUUUUUUAAUCCGAAUGUCCUAAAAGAACUUAAACCUAUUUCCUACUUUGGUGUAAAAUGGUUUGGGCAGACAAUUUAAGCUUAGACCCAACAGAGUGCUAUUCAGGUUAGGGGCUGUCAAUGUUUUAUAGAAAAGGGCAAAUUUAGUAAUAGGACAAUUGUCCAGGCCGUCAUAAGGACGGCAGAAACAAAGACUUAAUUGCAAUUCGGGUUUUUUUGUUUUUUGAGCAAGCAUAUUUUACUUUUUAAUAAGACAAAUCUGAAAAAGCAAACGCGGUCCAAAAAGCAUGUGAUUCGGUAAGAGAGAUUUUAAAAAACCAAAAAACCGUAUCUUCUUUUCACCCCAGAUCUUAUUAACUGUGUGUUUUCCUCUUCGAGAACUUGUAUCGUCAAUAACGUCAUCGUGAACCAGACUAGCAGUGUGGAUCAUUUCUGCAAUUAAGGCUAUGGCGCGGUGGCUGGCUUGCACAUGUCAAAUUAACAGACAGCAAUGCUUUUUAACAGACGCCGCCUAGAACCUUCUCAGCAAUCAGCUUGUGAAAAUUGGACAUCGGAUCGGGAGUUGUUAUGAUGGAUAUUACAUGCUCGGGCCAUUAGCACCCCAAUAAUUGGUCGAAAGGCUUUUCCUUUUCCAUCAAAGUAGUACUCAGACAUUUCCUGAAGUUCUGUUGUUGAUAUGAGCAGUUCCUUUCUAAUGUCCUCAUACAGACCUUUCAAGUCUCUGCAACCGAAUUUGAAAGGAUCGGUGAUCUGUAUAUUUCUCACCACUGUGUGUUUUACUGUCCGGGGUUGUGUGAUAAAACCGUGAUAUACUGUAUACAUUUGGACAGGCAGAUGUUAAGCGCUUCACAAGACUAAAAUAGGGUAUCUGAGACAAGCCGAAUCCCUUCCGCCUAUGAGCCUGAGCGCGGGCGCCGGCAGCGGCGCGCGGCCCUGGAGGCCCUGCAAGGCCGGGGGAGCCGGGCACACCGCCACCAGCGUGAGGCCAUGGUCGGAGACUGAAAGUCGCGGCAGGGUGGCGGCUCCGCCUCUGCAAUUCAGAUUUUUAAAACCUACUCAUCAAGUUUGUGUGAGAAUGGUGUUUCUUACAGCAUGGUGAAUAGACCACCAGCAUCCGAAUCAUCUGGGAUUCUGGGAUAGAGAUUCCCAGGUCCACUCAUGCCUACAAAUCAGGGACUCUGGGGACAAGGCUCAGAAAGGUGAAUUUUAAAAUAGCUCCCCAGAUGAUUUUUUUUUUUUUUUUUUUGAGACGGAGUCUCACUCUGACGCCCAGGCUGGAGUGCAGUAGUGCAAUCUCGGUUCAGUGCAACCUCCGCCUCCCAGGUUCAAGUGAUUCUCCUGCCUCAGCCUCCCGAGUAGCUGGGAUUGCAGGCACCCACCACCACGCCUGGCUAAUUUUUGUAUUUUUAGUAGAGACGGGGUUUCACCAUGUUGGUCAGGCUGGUCACAAACUCCUGACCUCAAGUGAUCCUCCCGCCUCAGCCUCCCAAAGUGCUGGGAUUACAGGCGUGAGCCACCGCACCUGACCUGCAGAUGAUUUUUAUGCGCAUCAAUGUUUGAGACCCUCUGGCACAGGAUAAUGGAGGCAGAUGUAAAGUAAAUUAAUUUCCUCACUUUUGCAUGUUGGGAGAACAUAUGUAUAUCUCACAUUUCCACUGUCCCCUUUAUUAUCAGCGUGAGAUCAUACAGUCCGCAGGAAGUAUUAUUGAAGUGACUUAUAAAAAAAUUAAAUUUUCUUUAAUCACACUCCAUUGCCUGACACCCCUUAUGUAAGCAGAAGGGAGUCUGAGACCUCAGCUUCUAAAAUGGGAACCAUGCUAAGGAUAAAAAACUGAAGACAUUUAGGGACCCUUGUCCUGUGAAUACAAGCAACUACAGAAAGGCAUGAGAACAGUUUCUUGGCUUGCUUGACUUCCUUCUCACCUUCCCUUGGUUGACCCAAAAACAAAUACAAAGCUCAGUCAUUUAGGUGGGCUGAUAAUUCCAUAUCAUUCAUACUUUCAAUCACCAAGAGCAAAAAAAAAAAAAGUAUGGAGACACCCCAGAACAGAUUUGAAGGUUAACUUUGUUGUAUGCUUUAUUUGCUUAAAAUACUAAACCAUUAAAGAAAGCCCAACAAGAGUCACAACUUUGAAAACUGCUGUUUACCAUCAUAAACAUAAUGUGUCAUAAACCCUGAGUACCAUCAUAAUGUGCUCUGCUACGAACUAGCUGUGUGACUUGAGCUAGUAACUAAGCUAUCUGAGCCUUGGUUUGUUCUGCAAAAUGGGAAUCGUAACAUCUUUCUCCAGAGCCACAUGAAGAGUUUUAGAGUCUCUUAGUAAUGCAAAUCAUUCCCCAAUAUAUAGUUUUAAAUAAAAACAAUAUUAAAUGUAAUGUAGAAAAAGUUGGGUGAGGAAAUCACAUGAUCACCCCUAGCUGCAAGGGAGCCCAAACAAUCAGGGAACUGCGAGGUCACAAGUUGCUUAGAGCAGAGAUUCCCAGUCUUUACCAAGCAUCACAAUCUCUUUAGAUGUCAUUUAUACUCACCACUCUUUUGAAAUUAUUAUAAUUAUUAUACUCAUCACUAGAUCUUGUUAUUUCAUGCAUUAAUAAAGAAGCAUAGGCUGGGCGUGGUGGCUCAUGCCUGUAAUCCCAGCACUUUGGGAGGCUGAGGCGGGUGGAUCACGAGGUCAGGAGUUUGAGACCAGCCUGGCCAACCUAGUGAAACCCCGUCUCUACUAAAUACAAAAAUUAGCCAGGUGUGGAGGCACGUGCCUGUAGUCCCAGCUACUCGGGAGGCUGAGGCGGGAGAAUCACCUGAACC